ACCAGCUGACCGUUGCUCCAAGGUCGACUCGGCGGUGAGGGCGCCUGCAGCCGCCACGCGCCCGGCCAGAUCAGGGUGCGAGCGCAGGAUGCCUUCUUGACCUGGCGAAAGAACUACAGAGUAUGGCACGCAGAGAAAGUCCAGUCCGACUGAUGGCCCUCUUAAAUUAACAUCUCUGCCAGAUCGAAUCUCUCCACGGCAUGUGUCAUUAUAAUCGUAGACAUUUAGUCAAAUUAAAUAAUACACCAGAAUUUUUUUGUCUUGCAAGGUUCAUUAUGGCAAUAAACAUGUAAUAAA